rnacentral:other from 1 species
UUUGGACUACCUUGUUGGUGAAGACCUUCCUUAAGUGCUCUGAUCUGACUCUUUUUCGACUUGUGGAGACUGUCGUGACGGUGAAGUAAACCAGUCUAGUAACUGGAAAUGGAACCUCGCUUUGACUCCUCUUCUGGUUAAUCCAGGUCGAUGCUCUGAGGUCUCACGGCAAGGUGGUCUUGUA